GCAAUCAAUUGAAGCUAACGCACCUCCAUCUACAGCCAUAGGCUCUGAUGGCACCAAAAUAAAAAACUCUGCUGCUGUACGGGAGGUUGGGGUUCAGGUCCAUGUCCAACCCCAGAUCCUACUGGUGGGGUGGCUGGGACAGUAGAGCAUUCGACUUCUCUUGAUCCGAUCACCUCUGAAAAGAAAAAAAUAUCCCCAACAUACCACCAAAGGAGGGCACUCCUAACAUGAUGAGUGGGACUCCAAAGGCCAACAUGGCCACUCAGAGAGACCAGUCUGAGCCCUCCUU